rnacentral:rRNA from 1 species
UUCCGUAGGUGAACCUGCAGAUGGAUCAUCGU